GAGCUGGGUUCAGACCGGCGUGAGCCAGGUCGGUCCCUAUCUGUGGUGGGCGGAGGAGAUUUGAGAGGACCUGCUCUUAGUACGAGAGGAUCAGAGUGGACGUCCCUCUGGCGUGGCUGUUGUCAUGCUCAUGGCAAUCGCAGCGUAACUAUGGACGGACGAGAUAACCGCUGAAAGCAUCUAAGCGGGAAGCUCACCUCGAGAUUAGAUCUCCCCGAAGGCCACUCGAAGACUACGAGUUUGAUAGGCCGGGUGUGCAAGGACCGUGAGGUCCUCAGCUUACCGGUACUAAUCGGCCGUUCGGCUUGAUUCCGCACUUAUG
rnacentral:rRNA from 1 species